GACGAACGCUGGCGGCGUGCUUAACACAUGCAAGUCGAACGGAAAGGCCCUGCUUGCAGGGUACUCGCGUGGCGAACGGGUGAGUAACACGUGGGUGAUCUGCCCUGCACUUCGGGAUAAGCCUGGGGAACUGGGUCUAAUACCGGAUAGGAGCCCUUCUGAGUGUGAUGGUUGGAAAGUUUUUUGGGGUGGGGAUGAGCUCGCGGCCUAUUAGCUUGUUGGUGGGGUAGGGGCUUACCAGGGGGGCGAGGGGCAGCCGGCCGGGGGGGGUGGCGGGCCAAAUGGGGACUAAGGAAGGGCCCGGACCCCAAGGGGGGACAGAGGGGGGAAAUUUGACAAAGGGGGCCAAGGCCGGUGGCGGGAGCCCCGGGGGGGGAAGGCGGGCUUUGGGUUGUAAAACCGUUUCCGUAGGUAACAAGGUUUUUGUGACGGUACUUAGAAAAGAAGCACCGGCUAACUACGUG
rnacentral:rRNA from 1 species